CACAAAUUCUCUCAGCCCAGUGCAUGCCAGACGCUGAUAGGGAUCAGAAGGGGAAGCAAGGCCAUCCACGCAGAGAGAACUCCUCAAAUACAGCUGUGUGCAGCAAUUACCAGCUCUGCGUCCCAAGACCAAGCAGCAAAUAUGUCUGACAGUCCAAGCGAAGGGUCAGCGCCGAACGUAGAAGAAGAGACCUCAUCACCUGCGGAAAAGCCAUGUCUUGAACUCAAAGUUGCCAUGGAAAAAUGUGCAGCAGAGAAAGGUGAAGAAAACUGUCAGGAACUAAUUCAAGCCUAUAAAGAAUGUAUGAAAUCCCUUGGACAGCAAAUCUAACAUAUGCCUAGGUAGCUAUUUCUGAGUCUGUGUGUUCGGAGUCCUCUACCUGCCCCAUCAUUUUGUCCUCUCCAUAUCCGACCAUUACCCUGGGAUGAACAGAUGGGGGAGCUCUACUCUGUGUGAUGAAGCGCUAUUUAAACAUAUUCCCGCUGCAGGUCACCUGUUUGCACCUAACUUGAGUGAGCGCCAAGUCCUCGUGUAACUGGGCCAAACGCAGACUCCUAGGAGGAUGCCAAAUACCUUGGAAUAAUAACUAUAGUAACAAUAAUAAAAACUUUCUACAUUUAGAAUUUAUCUUAUUUCCCAUUUAUGAGUACAGGUAUUUGCAAAUGCAGAAUUCCAUAGAAAAAAAUUAAAGUGGGAAGACACCUAAAAAUGGGAUGAAAAUUAUGUCAUAUUAUGUGGAAAUAAAGGCAGAUAUGAGGAAACAAAAUAAGUAGUAAAACGUGUAUCCUCCAGUUCUCUACUGUGGAUCAGUAUUGUCCCUAUAUUCUGGGAAAUGUAGUAUUUACGUGUACAGGAGCAACGCAAACAGAGGCACAGCUAUGCAUUUCUGUAUUACAAUACAGUUACUGACUACAUGCUGUUAACAAGAAAUUUAGAAAUUUUAUUUUAAAGUUUUCCAAAUAUUGAAAAUUUGUUGAUGAAUAAAUAAAAAUAUGUUUUCCUGUUGGAUGAAAA